CGCCUCUGAGGCAGGCAGCUGGGGGGGGAGGAGGGGGAGAAAGAGCGAGGACCCUGCCCAGAAACUUCUGCCCCCCCCCAUCCCCUUGGGAGAGCGAGGGCCCCUCCCCUCCAGCGUCCCGAUGGCCGACUUUAGGGGUGCGGCCGGCCCCCCACCCCCGCGGGCCGGCGCAGCCUAAGGGCGUGGGAAAGUAGUGGGCGGAAACAGGGGCUGCGACACUUUUCCUUCUUCCCAGACCGCAGGGUCAGUGAGUUGUGCCCGGCCCCGGGUACAGCCCGAUAGGGCAGGGUCGGGGUUCUAUGGUCGGCCUGACUUCCCCCCAGCUCUCCGCAACAGGAGACCGGAAGCAAGGUGAAGAAUGUGCUGGCAGAGACCGACUUGGGCUGUGGGCAGAACAGGUGGGAGGACCCCAAGGGCAGUCUCAAGUCUUCUCGGGAAGGUUCGUUUUAAAGAAUCCCUUGGGGGAAGCUUCCAGGGAUUUGCUCCAAGUGCCGGUUCCUCUUUGGACUUAAGCCUUUGACAUAAAUACCACGUUCACGCGUCCCGUCAGCGAAUGCGUCCAAAGCUCAAUUUGGGGAAAAUUAAUCCAUUCGUGAUUUUAGAAUCAUUGCUUAAUCUGUUUUAUAGACCACAUUUGCUUAAAGAAGGACACCAGCAUCCCAACAAAGAACGGAAAGAGCAAAUCUAGAAUUAUUAGUACAAGAUGAAGAAGGGAAAGAGAUAUAAAGAAAGCCUGCUAUCCUGACCCAUGGGGCCAGAAGAGUGAGCACAUGAAGACAUAUUGAGCGCUCCUGUUGAACCCCCUAGCAAGACUCUCCUGGGACAGAGAUGGACUUUUAAGAAAAGGAGAGAAGCAAUCUUGGAAGCCUGCCUGCAAGUCAUACGGUAGGAAGGGAAUAGGUUAGGGUAUGGGGUGACUCAC